CCCAAAGGCUGGGAGGACGCCCCUCCGGAUGGCGCAGCCUGCCACACGCCCCACGCCUGACACACACACUAAUGUUGUGAGCACCGCUCUCCUUUCCGAUGGCUGUUUUUGUAAAACAGGAACUUGGCUAAAGAGGAACCUCUCUGGACAACUGGGGUGGCAUUGCUCGGGAGGCAGCUAGAGGAUGGGUUGUCCAGAGCAUUGAGGUCCCAGGGGGGCACCCUGAACCCCUGUGCUGAGACCCUGACAGUGCGCCACCUGCCUGCCGAGGGUUUCAAAUGCCUUAAGGCCUCGGCUUUCCAAAGGGCGCGCUAGGACGCCCGCAGGCUGGAAGCCCCGACGCAGGAAGACGGGACCACGUAGCAGCUGGCAGCCGCCUUCCUGCGAUCCCACCCGCUGGGGGGCCCUGCGCCAGCCAGCCCCGGUUCUCGCUUUUCUUUGGGGCCCUCUGGGCCGCUGGCUCUUGGAAACUGCUCCGUCAGUUCACUCUGAGUUAAAAGAAAUCGCCCCAGGCGUGGGAGGCCUCGCGGCCCCUGCCGGCAAGAAGCUCCCCUCCGGGUGCGGACCCCGCGGCGUUCCUCUCCCGCGGGAGCUGCGCGGCGCGUCUUCCCGCGAAUGGAGCGCCGCAAACCCGGGAGCGCGGACUCGGAGGAGGCGGCCGUGCUCCUCAGCCUAGUGGUCUUCGGAGCGGCUCCAGCCGGUCAGAGGGAUAGAGCUCUCAGUCUGUGGCUGGACAUGGGACCCCCCAGAGGAGAGACCCCGUUUCCCUGCCUUCCAGCAGAAACUCAGAGCAUGCGGCUCGGUUGUGGACCUCCAGGCCGUGGACCGGUACCUCCUGUCAGAUCAGCGGCGGCAUUAGAUUAGAAAUAAAGUGCCUGAUAAGUGCAUGAUGCGCCUGAAUCAUCCCAAAACCAUCCCUCCCCGUCCUGGUCUGUGGAAAAAUUGCUUCCCACAAAAUCGGUCCCUGGUGCCUGAAAGGUUGGGGCCUGCUGCUCUAAAGGCAUAUCUGCGUGAUGGACCACGAUGCCGGGAGGAGUCUUCUUUGGGAGGGGCUCAUCAAGUGCUCCCCACAAACGGAAAGGCCCCAGAAGGUCACUGCGGGGACCUACAGGAAUUUUGUGUCCACCCGACUGGCCACGGAUGCCCAGGUUAAGCAGUUUCUGGGUCUGUGUGAGGGGGUUUCUGGUGAGCUCAGCAGUGGAAUGGGUGGUCUCAGUAACACAGGUGCCCCCCCGUGUGGGUGGGCCUCCCCAGGGUGGGUGCCCCCCAUCCCCCCCACGCCCCCCACCCCGUGCAGGUGGGCUCAUCCAUCCACUGAGGGUCUGGAUAGAACAGAAGGUGGAGGAAGGCAGGAUCUGCCUUUCUGCACCUGCCUCAGCGUUAAGCUGGUGUCAUCCCAUCUCCUGUCCCCGGGUUCUCAGGCCCCAAGUCUUGGGGUGACUCACACCACCUGCUUCCUGGGUCCCCAGGCUGCAAACAGCAGCUCGUGGGACUUCUCAGCCUCCGUCAUCACAGGCGCCAAGGCCUCAUAGUAAACCUCCCUGGGGGUGCACAGGCCCCUCGUCCGUGGCUCUAGAGACCUCUGACUGCUACAGAGGUUAAAAAGCUGACACUAAACUUCAACUGGAAGAACAAACACGAGCUCAUACCUGAGACGCCGUCCUGGGUCUUCUCACUCGGGAGUCGGGGUGACUACAGUGGCUGCCCGGCCCUGUCGUGGGUCAGCCGCAGGGGCGGGUGUAAACCUCGGGGCUGCUGACCAGAAGGCACAGGGGAGGAGGGCACCACAACUAGCAGGCUCAGGAGGAGGGGUGCUGUCCUAGCCAGUAUUUCAGGGUCUCGUGUGAUGGCCGUGACUAGAGCCACACCUGUCAUGGCAAGGGUCCAAGAGGCAACCGGUAGCCCAGAGCAGGCGGGAGGAUGGCUCUUCUCAAGGCUGUCUGCUAGACCAUCAGGUGUGCAAAACGCCAACGUGGGGACUUCCCUGGUGGGCCAGUGGCUAAGGCACCACGCUCCAGUGCAGUGGUUCGAUCCCUGGUCGGGGAACUAGAUCUCACACACGGCGACUAAGAGCUCCUAUACCGCAGUGAAGAUGCAACUAAGAUCUGCUGCAGCCAAAUAAAUAAAUAAACGUACAUAUAUAUAUAAUGUCAACGUGAAACCCAGAUGGACAACAAAGUAAAAAGCACUGAAUACAGCAGAGCAAGCUCUAGACUCGAGGGGACUCUCUGAGCAGAGAGACUCUGGAGGAAGUCGCUUGCGGGUAGCUGGGCAGUGCUUGUUUGUGGACCUGGAGAUGUGCACUGUCCCUGAAGCCAAAAUUCCGCGGUCAGCAAAGUCAAAAGGCAAACGGGAGAAGAACAUCUGUCAUGUAUAGGGCAGGCCCAGGGUGGUACCCUGGGUACAUAAUCGCCACCUACACCUACAAAUCGCCAUGCAGACAGAGAAGAUGUUCCAGAAGAUGGGAGCGGGUUGGCUAGCAUCCCUGGAAUCGAAGUUCCCGUACAGAGACGCCUGCUCUGCGCUGAGAGUUAAAGGAGCGGACCUUAGGACCCUGUGUUGGUGUUGGCAGCAAGUGGGUGCCCUGCCCCAGAGGGGCUGCAACGGCAGCUCUGGGGGGAACCCCUGGGGAGGGAGCAGGAGCCCGGGACGCUGCGAGUGGCACUGCCUUGCGGCCACCUAGGUGAGCGGUUCCUGGAUCACCUCUUACCUGUGGGGGUCUGAAUGCUGGGCACCUGGCCACUGGGGCUUCUGCGAGUGAAGCCUGGAGUCAAGUCCAGGGUGGCAGGGCCAGGCGAGGUCAGGCCAGCCACCGCGCAGCUAACCCCUGAACAUACAGCUGUGUGAAAUGGUCAGUUAAAACAUGGCUUAAAAGAGACUGCAUGAUACGAUCCUAUUUGGUUAACAAAACGUGUGUAAAUGCAUGUACAUGUCAAAUAUAUAUUUACAUGCAAGUGAUUAUACAUGUAAAAGACCUCUCAAUGUACAAGGAAAACAUGGAAGCUUAGAAGUGAAUCGAAGUGUUAAGAAAUUA